rnacentral:rRNA from 1 species
UACGGAGGGUGCGAGCGUUAUCCGGAUUCACUGGGUUUAAAGGGUGCGUAGGUGGGUUUGUAAGUCAGUGGUGAAAUCUCCGGGCUUAACCUGGAAACUGCCAUUGAUACUACAGGUCUUGAAUUUUCUGGAGGUAAGCGGAAUAUGUCAUGUAGCGGUGAAAUGCUUAGAUAUGACAUAGAACACCAAUUGCGAAAGGCAGCUUGCUACAGGAAUAUUGACACUGAGGCACGAAAGCGUGGGGAUCAAACGGG